GGGAAACUGCCUGAUGGAGGGGGAUAACUACUGGAAACGGUAGCUAAUACCGCAUAACGUCGCAAGACCAAAGAGGGGGACCUUCGGGCCUCUUGCCAUCAGAUGUGCCCAGAUGGGAUUAGCUAGUAGGUGGGGUAACGGCUCACCUAGGCGACGAUCCCUAGCUGGUCUGAGAGGAUGACCAGCCACACUGGAACUGAGACACGGUCCAGACUCCUACGGGAGGCAGCAGUGGGGAAUAUUGCACAAUGGGCGCAAGCCUGAUGCAGCCAUGCCGCGUGUAUGAAGAAGGCCUUCGGGUUGUAAAGUACUUUCAGCGGGGAGGAAGGUGUUGUGGUUAAUAACCGCAGCAAUUGACGUUACCCGCAGAAGAAGCACCGGCUAACUCCGUGCCAGCAGCCGCGGUAAUACGGAGGGUGCAAGCGUUAAUCGGAAUUACUGGGCGUAAAGCGCACGCAGGCGGUCUGUCAAGUCGGAUGUGAAAUCCCCGGGCUCAACCUGGGAACUGCAUUCGAAACUGGCAGGCUAGAGUCUUGUAGAGGGGGGUAGAAUUCCAAGU
rnacentral:rRNA from 1 species